rnacentral:misc_RNA from 1 species
GAUGAAGAACGUAGCGAAAUGCGAUAAGUAAUGUGAAUUGCAGAAUUCAGUGAAUCAUCGAAUCUUUGAACGCACAUUGCGCCCGCCAGCAUUCUGGCGGGCAUGCCUGUCCGAGCGUCAUUUCAACCCUCAGGGUCCCUCCGCCUCGCGCGGUCGGAGCCUGGUGUUGGGGAUCGGCCCGCCCCGCGCGGCGCCGUCCCCCAAAUACAGUGGCGGUCCCGCCGCAGCCUCCCCUGCGCAGUAGUUAUCAACUCGCACUGGAGCGCGGCGCGGCCACGCCGUAAAACCCCCGACUUUCAGAAAGUUGACCUCGGAUCAGGUAGGAAUACCCGCUGAACUUAAGCAUAUCAAUAAGCGGAGGA